rnacentral:rRNA from 1 species
GACGUAGGUUGCGAGCGUUAUUCGGAUUCACUAGGCGUAAAGCGUGUGUAGGCGGAUGCCUAAGUCUGUUGUGAAAUCUCCUGGCUCAACUAGGAGAGGUCAAUAGAUACUGGGUGUCUUGAGUUGGGUAGGGGGGACCGGAAUUCCUGGUGUAGCGGUGAAAUGCGCAGAUAUCAGGAGGAACACCGGCGGCGAAGGCGGGUCCCUGGGCCUUAACUGACGCUCAGACACGAAAGCUGGGGUAGCAAACAGG